rnacentral:rRNA from 1 species
UACGUAGGAGGCGAGCGUUGUCCGGAUUUACUGGGCGUAAAGGGCUCGUAGGCGGCCAACUAAGUCAGACGUGAAAUCCCUCGGCUUAACCGGGGAACUGCGUCUGAUACUGGAUGGCUUGAGUUUGGGAGAGGGAUGCGGAAUUCCAGGUGUAGCGGUGAAAUGCGUAGAUAUCUGGAGGAACACCGGUGGCGAAGGCGGCAUCCUGGACCAACACUGACGCUGAGUGAGCGAAAGCCAGGGGAGCAAACGGG